GGCAACUUGGGAAUUUCCAGCCUUCCUCUGGUGAGCUUCCAGGGCUGUAAUUCAGGAUUCUCACCUGUCUGCCUCAUCCUCCCUCCGUCUUCUCAGCAGGGAGCAGUGGACCAUAUUCGGAAAGGUGUGAGAGCAAGUUUCUGGAGAGUGGGAGUCUUACUCACACGUGUGGACAUGCUCAUUGUAAAGUGAUUCGUCACCGCAGUGAGAAAGUCCAGCAUGAGGAAGAAGGACAUGGAAAACAGUGGUUAGCUCAACUCUGCCAUCUGUGAAGACUUCAGUAUUUUGAAUAUACAGGGAGAAGAUGAGUGGAGCCAGCAUCUCAUCACCCCACCCCCAACCCUGCCCUGCUGUAUGCUAGGACCAGUGCUCAACAACAGUUUUAAGCUCCUACUUUAAGCUCCUACUCUAAGGCUACCCACCCAGAGCAGUGAGCCUCAAGGUCCCCAGUAAGAGAGCCCGGCACCCUCAGCCUGGGCUCCAGGGGCUCCUGUGUUCUCCUGGAUCCUGCACU